rnacentral:rRNA from 1 species
UACAGAGGGGGCAAGCGUUGUUCGGAAUUACUGGGCGUGAAGGGCGCGUAGGCGGCCUGUUAAGUCGAACGUGAAAUCCCCGGGCUCAACCCGGGAACUGCGUCCGAUACUGGCAGGCUUGAAUCCGGGAGAGGGAUGCGGAAUUCCAGGUGUAGCGGUGAAAUGCGUAGAUAUCUGGAGGAACACCGGUGGCGAAGGCGGCGACCUGGGUAGAUACUGACGCUGAGGCGCGAAAGCGUGGGGAGCAAACAGG